CUUCCAACAGGAUGAUCUCUAGAUUCUUGGUGACAUUUUUUUAGACCCAAUAUCAACAGUAGAGAGUUUGGGUUUUUCUAAACUCUUCUGCCACAUUUUUGUAAUGAUGGCAGUAAUAGAUUUUAAAAAAAAAUCUCUCAGUCAAGGUUGAAACAUUGCUACACCUGAAAAACUGGUGACAAGUAUCCAUUAACUUUAAAUGUCACAUAGCAGAAUCAUUUAAAAUAUGAUAGUGGGUUUGUUUGAUAUUGUCAUUAAAUGAGCUAUUAUAAUUUAGGGAUAUUGCUACUUUUAGAAUAUGCAUUACAUGUUGGACUAUUGUUCUUUAUAAAAAUCUAUUACUUUGUGAAAAUCAUUUGCUUUGCACUCACAGUGGAUCAUGGCCAGGUCUGAAAAAAGGAAACUCAUUUUGGGGUGAGAGUCCUUUGUGCUCCAAAUUUUCUUAGCUGACACAGUGUGUCAAUGAUUAUAAGCUAUAUAUCUUUUAUUUUAAAAACUUUUUUAUUAUUGUUUUUGCUUCCAUGUGCAAUAUAGCAUUUCAGUUUUAUUUUUUCUCUCCUUUUUGUAUUUGAAGCACAUAUCACCAGUAUUAAGAAGAUUUUCUUUAACUUUUUUUUUGAUUUUGCAGUAAGAUGUUUAAGAUACAUUUGCCCUAAUGUCAAAACAUACCCCAAAAGCAUUAGACUAUAAAAAUGAUGCCAUUGAUUAUUUAAUUAUAGGACUUUGUUUAAUGAUUCUGUCUGAUUCUAGGAAAAGAGGAUACAAAAAGAGCCAUUGCACAGUGCCAAAGAAACACAAAGCUAAACUGCAUAGUGCCAAUUGAGCACAAGGUCAAAGAGACCAACCAAUCCAAAUGGGAUUAAUGAAAUUUGAAGCCAAGACAAGAGGACUUGAACUUGUUUGGGGUUCGAAGUUGGGACUGUUUUGUGUAAGAGUAAUAUAUUGUAAGAGAAUAAGACUGCAGGAAACCUGGAGAAAAGAUGCAAUGGAUGGAAGCUUGGAGAUCUGCCCAUCAAGGAAAAAUUCCAGGGAGAAUGUGACCUGGAGAAGGCAGUUAAAACAGGAACACACAAAGUGCUUGGGGCUGACUCUUUCCUGAGACCUUUGGAAGAAAGAGCUGAGGAUUUUUUCUCUGCCUUGUGGUCACCAAUUUCCUCUCUGAAAUAUUGGAGUUUGACUUUGAAGACCCUUUCAAAGCUGUCAAGCACAUCCCUCUUGGGAAUUUUCUCAGCUCUGGAUUACUAUUUCUUCUUCUCUGGUGACAGUCUCCAUCUCAUUUCAAUAGAACUUGAGGGUCAUUUCUAAAGAGUCCAGUAUGACAAGGAAGAGGUAAGCAUUCAGUUCUUCAAAACAAGCAUGAGUGAAAGAGGUAUAGAACUUAAUAUCUUCAGAGAGGCAAUCAGUCUUCAUACUGGCUUGGGUACUGGAAGAGGGGAUAUGCUUUGCAAAUUCACAAGAGGUACAUAGAUGGCCUACAGCCAUCUUAUUCUCACUGAUGUCCUUCUUGAGUUUUCACUUGAACUCAACAAUGAAAUGGUUAAAUAUAUGGCUGUCAAAGUCCUGGCCAAGUGAAUAUUCUCAGCUAUGGAUUUUAUUUCAAAGAUGGCAUCUUCAGUGGUAUGAAUGGAGACAUCAAAAGUGUUACUUCUAAAGUCAAAGUGCCGCCCAUUUCUCAGCACCAACCUUUUUGUCCAAGUUAUAAGGAACAACAGUAGCAGUCAUCUCACUGAUGAUUUGGAGCACAUUGAGACCAGCAAUGAUUCAAGCAUGUUUGAUCACCUGAUGUUGUGAAUUGUUAAUGUAAGCUGGUGAUGUGAUGACAGCAUUGGUGAUAGUCUUCCCACAGUAAACUUCAGCAAUCUCUUUCAGCUUGGUCAGGGCAAUAUAAAUUUAUGUGUUUAUUUUUGUACUCCACUUUGAUCUUGGACAUGCCUGUGUCAUUUCCCAUCAUGAAAGACUAAGGUUCCAUGUUUGACUGUACAAUGGUAUCAUCGAAUCUGUGACCAAUCAAAUGUUUGGCAUUAAAGACUGUUUUGC